rnacentral:tRNA from 1 species
AGCAAUAUGGUAGAGUGGGUAAUGCAUCAGAUUAGAAGUCAGGAAGUCACAAGUUCAAAUCUUGUCUA